CCUACGGGGCGCAGCAGUCGAGAAUCAUUCACAAUGGGGGAAACCCUGAUGGUGCGACGCCGCGUGGGGGAAUGAAGGUCUUCGGAUUGUAAACCCCUGUCAUGUGGGAGCAAAUUAAAAAGAUAGUACCACACGAGGAAGAGACGGCUAACUCUGUGCCAGCAGCCGCGGUAAUACAGAGGUCUCAAGCGUUGUUCGGAAUCACUGGGCGUAAAGCGUGCGUAGGCUGUUUCGUAAGUCGUGUGUGAAAGGCGCGGGCUCAACCCGCGGACGGCACAUGAUACUGCGAGACUAGAGUAAUGGAGGGGGAACCGGAAUUCUCGGUGUAGCAGUGAAAUGCGUAGAUAUCGAGAGGAACACUCGUGGCGAAGGCGGGUUCCUGGACAUUAACUGACGCUGAGGCACGAAGGCCAGGGGAGCGAAAGGGAUUAGAUACCCGUGUAGUC
rnacentral:rRNA from 1 species